rnacentral:rRNA from 2 species
UACGUAGGGUGCGAGCGUUAAUCGGAAUUACUGGGCGUAAAGCGUGCGCAGGCGGUUUUAUAAGCCAGAUGUGAAAUCCCCGGGCUUAACCUGGGAACUGCAUUUGUGACUGUAAGACUAGAGUGCGGCAGAGGGGGGUAGAAUUCCACGUGUAGCAGUGAAAUGCGUAGAUAUGUGGAGGAAUACCGAUGGCGAAGGCAGCCCCCUGGGUCGACACUGACGCUCAUGCACGAAAGCGUGGGGAGCAAACAGG